GCGCACCAGGCGCGAAACUUUACAAUGUGCGAAAGCACGAUAAGGGAACUCUGAGUGCCUCCUAAGGAGGCUGUUCAGGUGUCUAAAAGCACCUGAAGGAAGGGCCGGGUAAGACCGGUGCCAGCCGCCGCGGUAACACCGGCAGCCCAAGUGGUAGCCACGUUUAUUGGGUCUAAAGCGUCCGUAGCCGGCUGGGUAAGUUCCUUGGGAAAUUUGGCUGCUUAACAGUCAAGCUUUCAGGGAAUACUGCCCGGCUUGGGACCGGGAGAGGUCAGAGGUACUCCAGGGGUAGGGGUGAAAUCCAUUAAUCCUUGGGGGACCACCGGUAGCGAAGGCGUCUGACCAGACCGGGUCCGACGGUGAGGGACGAAGGCUAGGGGCGCGAACCGGAUUAGAUACCCCCGUAGU
rnacentral:rRNA from 1 species